CGAAUAAAUGUUGGACUUGGAUUAAAUAUUAUGAAUCCUCUUAUCACACGUAUGAAUCCAUGACACGAACAUCCACGAGGAUUACCACUACUAGUUUUCCAAUCAAGGUUGGAAUAAUCUCAACUAGGCUAACCGAUAAUGAACACCGAGAAGUUCUACAAAGUGAUAAGGUGAUCUUUCAGAAAUUUUCAAGGAAAUCCCGAGUCAUUGGAAUUAGCAUUAACUUGGUCCAUCAAUACCUAAGCUACUAAUAAUUACACCCAAUCUAGUUCUUGUUAUCCAUAUGAUGCACAUGUUGGAGAUUUCACUCAACAAUGGGUAUCAGAAAGGUGUUUCCUUUCCUAGAAACGAAACCUUGUUGACAGAACACAAAAUCAUUUGUGUCCCCAGGAAGUAGGGGAGUCACAAGGACUACUUAAAUCCCUACAGUCUUAGGAAUCAUUUCUUUAGAAUACCCAAGUUGAGAACUUCGUGCACAACAAUGUUCCAGAGAACUUAGGGGGAUCUUGGAUCGUGACGGAAUCGUGGAUACCACUUUUCGAAAAGAGUAUCUCGACCCUUAUAAGCCUUGGGUUACAGGAAAUCUC
rnacentral:lncRNA from 1 species